AGAGUUUCUCUAUAUUAGGAGGGCUUUCAUGGAAGAGAAAGUGUGACCGCCUGUCUUCCAACCUCCCACAUGAACAAACUAACAUUCAGAAAGGAAUCUCUCACCCAGGGAAUCUGUGCUAUGUCUAAGGGAAUUUGUAUUGUAUCCAUGAAAACUGUAUCUGAAGAUAGUAUUAUGCACCAUUACUUAGGUUCAGCUUCCCGCCUCUACCGUGUUCAAAAAAGAAGAAAAAAAAUCCUGGAUCAUUCCGUGGUUCAGCUGUGGAAUGUUUGUUUUAGGUUACUUACAGCCAUCAACCAAUCAAGACCUUGAACUUUUUCUGUUUUGCAAGCCUAUUGAUUCCUUGAUCAAAUGAUAACAGUGUGUGUAUAAUUUGCCUGAGACCAAGAAAGUCAACUAUCGCUCCUGGAUAGUAAGCUAGGUUAGUGCCCUCUAAACUCGUCUCCAGUGGAGUAGUUGUCACGGCUGGCUAGGUGUGUAGCGAGGAAUCAGGCGCAGAGAGGUCCAGGGGAAAGAUGCACUUUAAUGCGGCACCAAAAUGAAAUGCGCAAACCACUGACCAACCCAUAACAAGGUCCAACGACACGACGUGAACAACAAAAUAAUCCCGCACAACAAAGGGGCGGGUUCCACACGCUAAAUAGGGAAGCAAAUCAAGCACACACAAAAUAGGAACAGGUGUAACAAAUGAGACAAAACUAACCGAAAAGAAAAAGGGAUCGGUGACGACGACCGCGGAGCACCACCCGAACAGGCGGGGGAGCCAACUUCGGCGGGAGUCAUGACAGUAGAACAAUUUUUUUUUUUUUUAGAUGCGGGAGCGCCAAAAAAAUUCUCGAUCAGCCUGGAAUAUUAUUAUAUAAUAUGGAAUUAUUAUAUGGAAAUAGAAAUAUUAUAUAAAUAUUUUUACCAGUUGUAUUCUCAACUUGAAAAUAGUAAGGGAGCGCUGCUACCUCACACUCCGGCAGCACAACAUCCCUGCUCGUCACUAAACUCAGGGCCCUGGGUGUGAUAAUCUUUCCGAAAAUGUUUCUAUAUGAAGUUAAGCCCCGGAAUUUUGGGAAUGUUGCUUAAAUUCAUCAAAAAAAUGUGCUUAUCACAGUGAACCUUUUUUUGUGGGAUACACAUAAGGCAAUUCUAGGUCUUGUGGCAUAUUUUGGUUAAACUAUCUCCAAUUCAAUGGAAUCACAUGUACAGCUGAUUCUCAAGAUCUUGCACACUAAUGAGAUGCUAUUGAGCCCACACUACUACACUGUCUGAACGAAGGACUACAUGCUUUCUGUCCUCACGGUUUUGACCCUUGCCUGUUCUGGACUCUGUACCCGCCUGCCUGACCAUUCUGCCUGCCUUGACCACGAGCCUGUCUGCCACGCUGUACCUCCUGGACUCUGAUCUGGUUUGGCCCUUUUUGCCUGUCCACGACCAUUGUCUUGCCUACCCCUUUGGAUUAAUAAACAUUGUAAGACUCCAA